ensembl:ncRNA F31F6.12 ncRNA
CGCCACAUGAUUAAAGUAAUCUGAAUUGCGAAACUCAAUCACAAUGACACUCUUGACUCAAAAGUGUACUUGAAUAGACAACGAUGAGUACCUUGAUGCGUUUGUUCUAGAUUCUUUGUUUUUGAGAUUAGUAAGGCAAUUUUCAAUAACAUUUUAUAUUUGUGUCAAUGAAGUUAUUUUUAGUUUCAAUUAUAACAAUUAAAAAAAAUCAACAACUGGGGAUACAACUGGAAUUAAAUUCUAAAAUACAACCGAAAAGUCUCCAGUCUUCGGUUUCAAACACCUAUGUGACAAUACGUGUUCAAGGUUACCAAGGCGCGAAACAUUCAAUAGACUCAAUUACAUCUAAUUACGUCCCUCCAAAAAGAAACAACAUAGUCCGUUAGAACCUAACGGUGUGUGGUUUAUACGACAAUUAAAGGGUUCUUGAGACUUUU